AAAGGGAGCUCUGUGCCAGAGGACAAAUGGGUGGGGCCCCUUUUCCAUCUCUUAGUUCAUUUUCUCUUUCAUGCAAAAAGUCCAAAAUGAAUUUCCAGUCCUUAAUAAACGCAAAGCAAGGAACAUUUCAACCAAACAGUUCGCCUUAUCAAAGCUUGUUUAACUGGCCCCAAGUUUUGUGGCACUUUUUUCAGCAUGCGGAAAGUUAAUCUGGUCCACCUCCAAGAAUUCAGACAGUAGACUGUUUUUUGGAUGUCCAGAUUGUUAAUGGAGAUUGCAGUUUGCUCCACAAUGUCCUGGCAGGCCUUGAUGUCUCUAGAGGCCUGCCUCCUAGUGUAGCGAAAGAACCAACAUGGGCUACUCCCAAGCCUACUGUGGAUUCAGUGAUUCUUCCUUCCCCCCUGAGUUCCAUGGUUAUAUUUAUUCCCCAAAUCCAUAACUGCUGAUAUCAGUAUUUCCAGAAUGCUACAAUUUUAAAGGUAUCCUGAAUGUAUAAAGUGUGGUGGUAACAAGCAUAAUUGCAAAUACACAAAUGGUUUGGUGCAGAUCCGUUCGCCUUGUGUAAUAUUUGAAAUGGCCUUUAGCUAUUUGAAACUAAUCCUAGUUGUGACCUAUUUCUUCUAGCACUGAAUAAGCUUUCAAUAUGUUAAUGAUCACACCAGUGCCCUAUCCUGUUUUGUCCUUUAAUUUGCUCUCUUCUGCUGCUUUUCCUUUCUUCAUCACUACCUCCUCUAGCCUUUUGAUGGCCCAUCUUUCUUCCCUCCCCUUCUUUUCCUUUCUUUUCCUUCCCCACCCCAUGUCUUAUCCUCUCCCCUCUAAUCUCCCUUCUCAUUCUCUCCUUUAGAUAUUUCCAAGUAGUAUCAGUGCUCACCCUUUAAGCACAAUGUAAGUACCACAUUAAAAGUCUAUUACUGGUAAUGGAGUUAAUGUAAAAGUGCAGAUUACCUAUAAUUAAUGGCAAAGUAAUUCCAUGUCUGAUCCGAUGUAAUGAAACACUAUUUUAAUUUAAAUAUAUUGGACAUCCACUAAGCCAUCAAACGAGAUGCUGUGUCUCAAGUCACUUAGAAACAUAUUCAGUCAGUAUGAAGUCUUCAGAUCUUUGGCCGAGAUCACCUUUGAAACUUGGCAGUAACUGCAGGACACUCUUGUAUCUUGGCUGCCCGCUGACCCUCAGGUGCGUAAAGGCUAUGGCAGAUUGUAACUUAGAUUUAUUUCAGCUAUUGUGAUAGAAAUCCUGGAAGCUAUCACUGCAGCAGGCAAUUUUAUUUUCAUUCUUGAGUUACGAGUCUGAGAGGGGAUCAAGGCAUAAUUAUGCUAGACACACAGAAUAUCAAUCUGUACUGUAGUAUACAUGCCUGGGUUGAUGCUUUCACCCCAAAGCAUAAAUUAUGAGUACUGGGAAUGUAUCUAAGUUGUAUGGUCCACAUGACCUCUGCAUGCGAACACCUUCUGGGUGUUCCAAAAGAAAAAUAUCAAAAAAUCACCGCAGCUUAUCUCCUUCUGGUCAGCUUUCUCUCAACCAACCUGACUUUCCCAGGAUGGCUCCCUUUCUCUCUUGAUCUUUCAUUUCAGAUCCCAGACAUAAAAAAAGGUGAAAGGAAUGUAGAAUUUCUGCUGCUGCUGGGAUACCAGACAGCCAUAUCAGGAGGCUGGCAGAGAAGUGCUUCAGGCAGAGAGGUCAAGAAAGCUCUUGCAGUCAAAAUCUGGCAUCCUAUCCUCUAAAUAUUUCUUAUUUUCACAAUAAUUCCUUUUGGAACAUUUGCUUUUUAAUGGAUAUUCUCAGUUGUGCAUCAAGGCUGCAGCACAAGCCCCCCCCCCCCCCAAGAAUAAUAAAAACUCAUUGACACAGUAUUUUAGUUUAAAGGUUGAUGGGCAAAAUUUAGGCCACAACUUUAUUGAUUACAGAAAUGUGACUGGUAUUGGCUUAGGCAUUGGCAAAAACUAUAUCCAACUCCUGCCCACCAUGCAGGAAGUCUGUAAGGGUAAACAACCAAAAGACGGAGCUCCGUCGAUGGCCCCAGCCCCCCAAGUGGACUUCGGAUGAAAUCCAGACCUACGGAUUCCUUUAACAGAAUACCCUUGUACCUGGAGGGGCAGGUGAUGGCCACACCUCCCCUCCCCCACACCUCACAAAGCCAAUGUCUAACCGCCAAACCUUACAAAGUUGUGACGAUUGCUAAGAGGUAGGCAAAAACCCAAUGACCAGUGCCAAUCUGCCAAAUGGAAAAAAUUCCUACCCGGACCCUGUUCCAAAACAGGCGACCAACAGAAGUCCAGAGCAGACACCUAAAAACGAGGGCAGGUGGGCGGGUGUUUGGCGGCACGAAGCCAGGUGAAAGCCCCAGCGAUGCGCCGCCAUCUUUUAAAUGCCCCCACAAUCACACCACCACUCUCUGAUUGGCCAAUCGGCUGUGCUGUGACCAUGGGGCCAUCACCUGGCUCGGGCUCAUCCCCCACCCCACGGAUAGGAAGGGGGCGCAACGCGGACCCUCAAUUAGGAGGAUCCGAUUAAGUACAGUGGUACCUCGGGUUAAGCACUUAAUUCGUUCCGGAGGUCUGUUCUUAACCUGAAACUGUUCUUAACCUGAAGCACCACUUUAGAUAAUGGGGCCUCCUGCUGCCGCCGCGCUGCAGGAGCACGAUUUCUGUUCUCAUCCUGAAGCAAAGUUCUUAACCUGAAGCACUGUUUCUGGGUUAGCGGAGUCUGUAACCUGAAGCGUUUGUAACCUGAAGCGUAUGUAACCUGAAGCACUAUUUCUGGGUUAGCGGAGUCUGUAACCUGAAGCGUAUGUAACCUGAAGCGUAUAUAACCUGAGGUACCACUGUACUUAUAUAAAUAUAGGAUUAUUAUUAUUAUUAUUAUUAUUAUUAUUAUUAUUAUUCUGUGCCCCGUUGGCUCGGUACCCUGUGGGGGGAACCACCAACACUACCCUAAAUCCAGCAGUAAGCUUGGUACAUGGCUAUCUGGGAUUGCCGUAUCUUUGGAUGCCGGCAUUCUCUAAGAGAACUUCCACAAUUUGCUGACAUGUUGCCUGCUAUUCUUUAACAUUGGUAGUAAUUGGGGUUGUGCACCAAAAACAAGGGACGCGGGUGGUGCUGUGGUCUAAACCACAGACCCUUGGGCUUGCCGAUCAGAAGGUUGGCGGUUCGAAUCCCCGCGACGGGGUGAGCUCCUGUUGCUAGGUCCCUGCUCCUGCCAACCUAGCAGUUUGAAAGCACGUCAAGUGCAAGUAGAUAAAUAGGUACCGCUGUGGCGGGAAGGUAAACAGCGUUUGCGUGUGCUGCUCUGGUUCGCCAGAAGCGGCUUAGUCAUGCUGGCCACAUGACCCGGAAGCUGUAUGCCAGCUCCCUCGGCCAAUAAAGCAAGAUGAGUGCCACAACCUCAGAGUCGUUCACGACUGGACCUAAUGGUCAGGGGUCCCUUUACCUUUACCUUACCAAAAACAAAGAUCAAUUCAGAUCUCACUUUGGGGCUCCAGAAACCAGUUCCUUUUGGACUGGACUGCUGUAGGCACAACCUAGACACCUUACUUUUUGCUGGAACAAGAAUUGUAGCCCUUUCUGAGUAGAUGAAGCUGGCCUGCCAAAUAGGUGCAAGGCUUUUGUUUGUUUGUGAGGUAUUUUAUUUGUAAAUUUAAUCACAAAAAUAAUUGCAUAUGCAAAUUAAAAUGGUAUGAAAUGCUGAAAACAGAGACCUCUGAUACUAACCAUUGCUAAUGUGAAAUAAUAUAAGAAACAUGGUUUAUCACAUGUAAAUACAUAAGGCAAUAAAAUUAAAAGAGCUGCAAAACAAAACCAUAGCUUUAAAACAGAUUUAGCUUUCAAAAUAUUAUAUACAGUAGCCAUGAUCUCUGAAAAAUCAAAAUCUGACUGAAAUAACUUCCAAACAUUAAGAAAUAUAAUAUUUUUGGAAGCAACAGGAUGUUUUUGUGGGGUUUGUUUGUUUUUUUACAAUAUUCAAUAAAGGAGAUCUUGGUUGUUAUACAUUCAUUCUGUCUUCAUCUAUUUUUGCUUGUUCUAAUGUACUGUGUUAAUUUAGUUAUCAAUGCAAAUUCCCAGUUCCCCUGCCCCCUAUGCUCUUCUUUAUCAUUGGUAUCAUUUGCAAUCCCCAUUUUUCUGCUCACAGAAGGGUUUCAUUUGACUUCAGUGUCCCUGCCAUGUAUCAAAACCUGAUUGGCCAUGUGGUGCGCUGAUGUCACCACAUCCCCUGCAGGAUCCCUGGAUGGCAGGAACCAACUGGAGGAGAAUAAGGGCUCUGGAAACAAAGAACAGCGUUGGAGCUGCACCAGGGAAGGAAUAUAUGACAGUGUUGCUGAAGUCAAAUAAAACCAUUCAUCUGCCUUCAGUUUUAAUUGGUGCCUAGGAAGGGAAACACAAACCCAUGAUGCUGAAACAAUUCUCCUACAUCAGCAAGAUUUUCCAUUUUGCCACAUUGCAUCACUAUGGUUUCACUGCAUCACAGUAGCAACUGGCUGGGAGCAUCCAUUGGAUUAUACCCCUCAUGAAUAUUUUUAAUCCUUUUUUAGGUAAAAGUAAAGGGAACCCUGACCAUUAGGUCCAGUCGUGACCGACUCUGGGGUUGCGGCACUCAUCUCGCUUUACUGGCUGAGGGAGCCGGCGUACAGCUUCCGGGUCAUGUGGCCAGCAUGACUAAGCCGCUUCUGGCGAACCAGAGCAGCGCAUGGAAACGCCGUUUACCUUCCCGCCAGAGUGGUACCUAUUUAUCUACUUGUGCUGGCGUGCUUUUGAACUGCUAGGUUGGCAGGAGCAGGGACCGAGCAACGGGAGCUCACCCCGUCACGGGGAUUCAAACCGCCGACCUUCUGAUCAGCAAGUCCUAGGCUCUGUGGUUUAAUCCACAGCGCCCCCCACGUCCCUAAUCCUUUUUUAGGACCCUCCCCCAAAUUGCUGAAAAGAAGGGAAGUUUGCCAAACUUUCCAAACCUGCUCUUUUGGGGUGGGGUGGGGGUAGGUGGUGGUAGUUCAGCUCUAUUUAUAAUACUAGUAAUUCAUUGUGUAAAGCUAGUAUGGUUUUUCUCAGGUGAUGCUGAGGGAAAUAACCUGUCAAGAAGUUCGUCUCCUUAAAUGGACACUCCUAAACAGCGUCCAUGAAAUCUCGUUCACAUUUUGAGCUGCGGAGAACUUCAGAAAUUUAAAUCAGGGUAUGUACUUGUUUUGAUAUUGCAUUAGCCUUUACUACCUUGCUCUUCCUAUAUUUUAGGCUAGUUAGUGACAGCAGAAGAAUCACAUUUCUCAACAGUUACAAACAGCAAAGGUUUGCAUUCUUGGACAUGCAAUAACAAAUCUGAGCAUGUGACCUGUGUAGGCACAAAGAAGCUAAAUCUGUCCUACACUUAAAUUCUUUCCUCAUCGUAUUCUUCCUCUUUUCUCCCCCAGAUUAAAUUCUUGAGUUCUUGUUAACUGCACUAGGCUAUAAAUUAUUAAUAUUAGAAUUAAUAGAGAUCUGUUGCCAAGGGAG